rnacentral:misc_RNA from 1 species
GAUGAAGAACGCAGCGAAAUGCGAUAAGUAAUGUGAAUUGCAGAAUUCAGUGAAUCAUCGAAUCUUUGAACGCACAUUGCGCCCCUUGGUAUUCCGGGGGGCAUGCCUGUUCGAGCGUCAUUAUAACCCCUCAAGCUCAGCUUGGUGUUGGGGCCUGCCAACUGGCAGCCCUUAAAAUCAGUGGCGGCGCCAUCUGGCUCUAAGCGUAGUAAUUUCUCUCGCUAUAGGGUCCAGGUGGAUGCUGGCCAGCAACCCCCAAUUUUCUAUGGUUGACCUCGGAUCAGGUAGGGAUACCCGCUGAACUUAAGCAUAUCAAUAAGCGGAGGA